GGGAACUAUUCUUUUUACCUAAGUGCUCUGGCUCAUCAAUUUGGGAUGGCUUUUUGUUUGAUUCUUCUCUGUUGCACAGUAAGUAUGAGGCUAUUUUUCACCCAUACUGUCAGAAUUUUCUAGGCCUUCAGUUUUCUGGCCUGGGUGCUAUCCUGAUUUCUCUUGUGUUUGAUUCCUGUAGGACUUUCAGUUGUCCAGGCAUACCAAAGAGAUUCUCAUAUCUGCCUCAGGAAAAGCAAAGUGGUCAAGAGGUGAUCAAAGCAAAGCUGUGCUAUGGCAAAUGGGUGACAGAAUCUCUUGUUUCUUCAGAAGCAGAGUGUCAGAGGAGGGCCUUGAAUCCAAUUGGGUACAACUGUUUUACGGCAAGACACCAGAUUUCCCCUUGAUAAACCCAAGGUGCAAAACAAAACAUGACGCAAGCCCCGCUGCAGCCUCAAGGGACAUCAGAUCUGCUCACUUGCCAUCAGCCUGAAGGCGCACAAGAACCCGGUGCUCUCCAGCUACAGCUAUGACUCCUGGGGGCAAGGCAGGCAUCCAGCCCACUCUGAGGGCUUUUGGCAGCACAGGAACAGUUCCAGCCAGCUCCUGCCCCAGGAAAACUCACAGACACAAGAAUGGAGAUACUUUAUUUCGACUUACAAUGCACAGGUGUAAAAACAAUACAACAUGCUACCUGCAGGAAGAAAAGCAGCAGAAGGCCUUGUUUCCUUGUUUCCUCAAAAGGAUAACAGGGAGUUUAGCAUGGAAAGCACUGACUGGAGUAUGAUUUCCUGGGGGAAAGAGAUGCAUUUUCUGUAGUAGUUACGGAAGUCUUUAGGAUUAUGGUGUUCAGAGGUUUCUGCAAGCGGCAAGAUUCAAGCUGAAGCUCCUGCUCUCCACUGGACAAAGAAAAGACCUGACUUUUGGUUGAUGCCCUAACAAUCAGGUGCCCACUGGUGCCUGCUUCCCCUCUGGGCAUUGCAAAAUUAACAUCAGGGGCCAAAUUCCCAUAUUCCAUAUGGAAUAACAAAAAAUCACAGUGGUUUCAGGGGUAUCUAUGAG
rnacentral:lncRNA from 1 species